rnacentral:rRNA from 1 species
AUGGACCGGGAACAAGGUAAGGCAGCGGCGAGCCUGCCGGAUUUGGGAGCGACUGUGGCUAAUUCUGGGGACGAUUCCCGUUGGUGUGCAGUGACGGAGUUCCUGGGCCAGGUGCCGCUCCUGCAGUGCCUCCCCGGCUCCUCCAUCCGCAGGAUCGCCGAGGCCGUCCAGGUCAAGCACUACGAACCUGGUGAUUAUGUCGCCCGUGAAGGUGAACCCGUGGAUGGCCUUUGCAUCAUAUUGGAUGGGCAGGCUGAAGUUUCUGCUCCUGCAAACACAGAAGAAGCAAACCGUCCAGACUAUGUGUUAAAUAAGUAUGACUACUUUGGUUACGGGACCAAUAGUUCUGUACAUCAAGUAAAUGUUAUUGCGGUGACAAAGCUGUCCUGCUUUGUAUUGCCAAGUCAAUAUGGACAUCUGCUGCAAACCAAGACAAUUUGGAAUGCAGAAGAAACACCUGAAAGCCAUUCAUUGAUGGAACAAAUUUUACAUUUAGAGAAAUUAGAGGUUGAUAUCUUUCGUGGAUUUACUUUGCCAGAAGCUCCAACUUUUAAUCAAGUUUUUGGAGGACAAUUGAUUGGGCAGGCACUAGCAGCAGCAUCCAAGACUGUCGAUUGCCUGAAACUUGUGCAUAGUCUGCAUGCAAUUUUUCUAAUAGCAGGAGACAAUAACAUGCCAAUAAUAUAUCAAGUGCAUCGGGAGCGUGAUGGAACCAGCUUUGCCACCAGAAAAGUGGAGGCAAAGCAGAAAGGCCUUGUUAUGUUCACUUUAAUUGUUUCUUUCCAGAAGGAAGAAUUAGGGUUUGAGCAUCAGGCUGCAAUCAUGCCUGUCGUUCCUCCUCCAGAACAGCUCCUGAAUAUGGAGGAGAUACGGGAAAGAAGACUCACUGAUCCACGGUUUCCGAUGCAAUAUAGGAACUCAGCUGCCAAGAAAAAGUUUGUACCUUGGCCCAUUGAAAUGAGGUUCUGCCAAGAUUCUAAAUCUCAACAUGAACCAAGCCUGCAUUAUUGGUUUAGAGCUAGAGGAAAACUUUCGGAUGAUCCAGCUCUGCAUAGAUGCGUUGUAGCAUAUGCUUCGGAUCUACUAUAUUCAGGCGUCAGCCUAAAUCCGCACCGGAAGAGGGGUUUGAAGACAUACUCUCUCAGUCUUGAUCACUCGAUGUGGUUCCACAAGCCUGUGAAAGCUGAUGACUGGUUGUUAUAUGUGAUCGACAGCCCAUCCGCACAUGGUGGUAGGGGAUUCGUCACCGGACGUAUGUUCAACCGGCAAGGAGAGCUCAUCGUGUCGCUGACCCAAGAGGCGUUGAUUAGGAGGGCCAAGACACCCGGGCAAACCCCAAGGCCGAAGCUUUGA